CAGCGCCCCGAGUGGGAAUCGUAUUUAUUGGGCCUAAAGCGUCCGUAGCCGGUUUGUUAAAUCCUUUGUGAAAUCGUUAAGCUCAACUUAACGAAUUGCAGAGGACACUGGCAGACUAGGGACUGGGAGGAGUGUGAGGUAUUCCUUGGGGAGCGGUAAAAUGUUAUAAUCCUUGGAAGACCACCUGUGGCGAAGGCGUCACACUAGAACAGAUCCGACGGUGAGGGACGAAAGCCAGGGGAGCGAUCCGGAUUAGAUACCCGAGUAGUCC
rnacentral:rRNA from 1 species